UCAUUGUAACCCUACACUCUUUCUAAGUGUAAUUCCCCCCUAAUUUGUGGUGUAAUUUCACUGUAAUCGCAUGUAUAAUUACACUGUAAUUUGUGCUGUAGUUGCAGUGUAAUUUUCUCUUAAUUUAGCGGCGUAAAUCCCUCUAUAACUAUUGUGUAGUUUGUCUUUGUUUUUUCACUGUAAUCCGAUGCAUAUUUACAAUAAGUGGUGUUAAUUUUACAGUGCAAUUUUCACUUCAUUUACAAUGUAAUUUUCUCUUGAUUUAGUGGUGUAAAUUUCUCUAUUAUUACUGCUUAGUUUUACCUGCUUUUACAGUGUAAUCCGAUGCAUUUUUACAGUGUAAAUUUACCCUUAUUUACUGCAUAGUUUGGCCUGCUUUUACACUGUAAACUGAUGCGCUCUUACAAUGUAAUGUUACCCUUAAUUACUGCGUAGUUUGGCCUGCUUUUACACUGUAAUCCGAUGUGUUUUUACAGCGUAAAUUUUACCCUUAAUUACUGCAUAGUUUAAACUGCUUUAUAUUGUAGUCAGAUGCCUUUUUACAGUGCAAAUUCACCUUAAUUACUGUGUAGUUUGUACUGCAGUUACACUGUAAUCCGAUGCCAUUUUACAGUGUAAAUUUAUAAUUACUGUGUAGUUUGUACUGUAGUUACACUGUAAUUCGAUGCCCUUUUUACAGUGUAAUUUUACCCAUAAUUAUUGUGUAGUUUGUACUAUAGUUACACUGUAAUCCGAUGCCCUUUUACAGUGUAAUUUUCCCAUAAUUACUGUGUAGUUUGUACUGUAUACAUUGUAAUCCUAUGCCCUUUUACAGUGUAAUUUUACCCAUAAUUACUGUUUAGUUUGUACGUUACUGUGUAACCCCACAUAUUUUCUUACAGUGUAAUUCCCCAUAAUUGCACUUCCAGUAUUUUUUUCCCAUAUUCACCGCAUUUUUCAGUGCCUAGUUCAUGCUUAUUUUCUUUGUUUUUUUGUCCUAGUAUUUUCUGUGCAAUCAUCACUAUAAGCCCAGUUUUGUCUUCCGUAUCUAUAUAAUUGAGCCCCAUUUCUUUGUUGUUUUUCAGCUAGUUUCUUAAUGGGUAGACUACGGAAAGUCUAUCCCAAGGAUGUUCCGCUAGUUUUUUCAGUUGAGAGUGCUGAUUCUUUGAAAGAUCCUUUCGUGCCUAAUGAUUUUGCUGAUGAUGGUUCUAAUGCUAUGUCUUUGAUUGUUCUGGUGAUGAUGAAGAGUUUGAUAAAGCUCUAUACAAUUUUUAUGUGAAUAAUUCAAUUACCUAAAGAGGAAAUUAUCAUCUGCUAGUAGAAGGAAUGUUUGUUGUUUUAUAGUUCUAAAGUUCUUGAAGAAUUGUUCAAACAACUAAAUCUUUUUGAGUGGCUACAAAGGGCUGCCUCCCAGGGAUUAGCUUCCGCUGCUGCCUCUUCGCCUGUUGAAUCAUCUUCAUGCAUUUCUUGCCAUGUCUGCAAAGUAGUUCAACUUAUACUUUGUUAUUUCUGGGCAUUUGUAACUCACAUUUAGUAUGAGGUCUUCUAGUGACAUUGAUAGUAGAUCUUCUCCAGUUAUUGCUCGUUGCUUGCUGCCCCCUGCAAUUAAGUUUGAAGUAAUGUUAGUACAAUUGCAAAAAAUUGAAGAACAACACUGAUAGACUUUCUUAGCAACGCUCCGUUUGUUAGUAUUCGUAAUUGUUUUUCAGAUUGUAUAGUGUAUUUGUAUGCAGAGAGGUAAGUGUAUUUUCUUCUUUUUUAGUGUAUCCUGAAUUGUUCCUUUUGAGGAUACUGAAAUGUUGUUUUUAUCUAUUGAAGUUUUCAGUUUUCUCUGAUCAUGCCAAAUAUGCAGCUAGAUACCAACAGAUGUAUGCCCAAAUAUAGGAAAAAAUGGAAACGCCGACAAACAUUAUAGGAUUUCACUGGAUGUAUGUUCUCAGAGGAGUGUUUUUUACAGUGUAUUCCUGUUUGAUUUCAUCUUACCAGCACUCAAAACAGAGGUGGAAUAGUUCUGCUGUAGCUUGAGGAGUUGAAGAUUUUCAUGUACCUGCGAUUUGUCUCUGGGAUGAUCUUGUUGUGAUCCCCAAGUGACUGCUUGUGUUCUUCUUCCAGGUGAUUUUGUUCUCCACGAAAAGGAAAGGACAGGUGGCCCGAUCAGUUAUACUUUUGUUGCUGUUAGUUGCUUGACGGGUCAGAUUUUCAGCCCGAUCCGUUUUCUUCGGGAAAAACAUACAUACAUACAAUUGUCGUAGGUUUUUUCAAUAACAGCUGUCAAUAGCUGAUUGGUUGGAAAACUUGAAUGAUAUCUAAUUACAAAUCAGUCGAAUGCCAAAU